GUAUCAUUCAGCAUCAUCCAGCAUCAUUUAGCGUCAUUCAGUAUCAUUCAGCAUCAUUUAGCGUCAUUCAGUAUCAUUCAACAUCAUUCAACAUCAUUCAACAUCAUUCCGCAUCAUUCAGCAUCAUUUACAUCAUUCAACAUCAUUUAGUAUCAUUAAGCAUCAUUCAGUAUCAUUCAGCAUCAUUUAGCGUCAUUCAGCAUCAUUUAGCAUCAUUCAGUAUCAUUCAGUAUCAUUCAGCAUCAUUUACCAUCAUUCCGUAUCAUUCAACAUCAUUCAGUAUCAUUCAACAUCAUU
rnacentral:lncRNA from 1 species